UGUUAUGAUGAUCAUUUCGUAAACAACAAUAUACGCUGGAAAUUACCGGCUGAGUUAUUCUUUGACGAUAUUAAAUGGCUAUGUCUGACG
rnacentral:snoRNA from 1 species